rnacentral:rRNA from 1 species
AGCAGCCGCGGUAAUUCCAGCUCCAAUAGCGUAUAUUAAAGUUGUUGCAGUUAAAAAGCUCGUAGUUGAAUUUCGGGAUCAAUUUGCUGGUCGUGCCUCUGGUACGUACUGGUAUUAUUGGUUUCUCCCUUCUGACGAACCAUGAUGUCAUUAAUUUGAUGUCGUGGAGAAUCAGGACUGUUACUUUGAAAAAUUAGAGUGUUUAAAGCAGGCAUUAGCUUGAAUACAUUAGCAUGGAAUAAUGAAAUAGGACGUUUGAUCCUAUUUUGUUGGUUUCUAGGAUUGACGUAAUGAUUAAUAGGGAUAGUUGGGGGCAUUAGUAUUCAAUUGUCAGAGGUGAAAUUCUUGGAUUUUAUUGAAGACUAACUACUGCGAAAGCAUUUGCCAAGGAUGUUUUCAUUAAUCAAGAACGAAAGUUAGGGGAUCGAAGACGAUCAGAUACCGUCGUAGUCUUAA